CCGAACUCGACUCUCUCUCUCUCUCGUUUUAUUCUUCUUCUUAUUUCACAAAUCUCUCUUGUUCUCUUUUUUCAUAAAUCUUACAAACCGGAAGAGUAAAAGCUCCUCAUCAAGGAAUAAAAUCGUUUGAUCUUAACUCCCCAUCCAUGAUCUGAUAAGAGCAAAGAAAAUCCCUAGAACCACCAGUAAACCAAAUCGUUCUACUCAUGUAGCAGAUCUGUAUUCGAGGUCUUCUUCUUCUUUGAAGUGAGAAACAUAUUUCAAUGGGUCGGGUAGUGAUGAGAAUAGAGUUGAUAUUAUUAAUUCUAAGUUGGGUCAUUCUCAGGUACCAUGGAAAAAACUGAAAGUGUUUUUUCUUUUUCUUUUGAGGAGCCGCGGUUGGAUCAAUUUCAUGAUCUGUUCUAUUUGAUUCAUAAUUAAAGGUUGAUGUUCUUGGUAGCCUUGUGUGUUGAAGACUAGUUAAAGAAAGAGUUGGUCCAGCCAUACUUUAUCACUCUUACAUGUUAGUUGAUGGAUUGUGGGUUUAUCCACCAUUGGAUCUUGGUGUAAUUUCUCGACACUGUUCUAGGAAAGAAAAUAUGGUAUCCUAGACGUAUAUAAUAUUGAAAAUGCAACAACAAAAGUUUAUCAAAUAACAAAGUAGUGGAGGUGUUAGAAAACAUAUCUUUCAAAGAAGAAGUGUUUGGAAUGGGUAGCCUACACGUAUAUGGUAUUGAAAAUGCAACAACAAAAGUUUAUCAAAUAGCAAAGGAGUGGAGGUGUUAGAAACAUAUCUUUCAAAGAUGAUGUGUUUGGAAUGGGUGCAGAUGAAACAGGACAUGAUGCUGCACCAUAGGUGUUACUAAGUUGUUUAGCUUUGAAACCUGUUCCGGUGGUGAAAUUGUUUGAUGGAAGAGGAGAUGCUGAAGAUCAGAAUUCUGAUAAUUAUCCACUGGUUUUUAUUUAGAUCCCUAGAUAUUCUAUUUUCCUUUGGUGUGUUGUUUAGUUGUCUCAUUAUGGUUUUUCUGGUUAGUUGCACUUGUCUUUAAGCUUGCAACUAAUUAGAUAGACUUGUAUUGGUCUGAACUCAGGAUUUAAAUCCUUUUAUGUGUAA